UACGGGGGGGGCAAGCGUUGUUCGGAAUUACUGGGCGUAAAGGGCUUGUAGGUGGCCAACUAAGUCAGACGUGAAAUCCCUCGGCUUAACCGGGGAACUGCGUCUGAUACUGGAUGGCUCGAGUUUGGGAGAGGGAUGCGGAAUUCCAGGUGUAGCGGUGAAAUGCGUAGAUAUCUGGAGGAACACCGGUGGCGAAGGCGGCAUCCUGGACCGGCAUUGACGCUGAUGAGCGAAAGCCAGGGGAGCAAACGGG
rnacentral:rRNA from 1 species